AGUAAUUCACUGGAGCCGCCGCUCCAGAGCGAUCAUUUGCUGAAGGCUUCUUGCCAACUAGAUGAAGAACCGCUGCCACCCCCUCGUUGCCACCGCACCUCCGGGCUUGGCGUCCUCUCCCGCGGGCUCCUGAGCCCUCCGCAGCUCGGGCUGCCCCCCGGCAGUUUGGUUUCUCUCGGGCUGAGUUGGGUUUGCUGGAGGGAGGGUGUAAACCACGAGGCGGGUCGGUAAGGCGAGCGGGUAGCAGGGCUGCGCAAGGAGCGCGCCUCGCCUGCCUUGGCUCCCGGACCGCGCUCCGGACUCGCACUGCCGCGGCCCUCCGCGACCGACUGACCCCUGGGCAAAUGGAAGGAGGGCAGGGCAGGGCAGGCGCCCGCCGCCGCCGCCGCUUCCUAAGCAGCCCCGGGGCGGAGCGGGGCCAGCAGCCCGCUCGGGGUGGCGGUGCCUGUGAACGGGAACCGAGCACCAACGGGGCGAGCGCGGGAGCCCUCUGCCGCCGGGCCGCUGCCGGGGGCCGGGGCACAGGCAGGCAGGAAUUGGAUAUCCAAACCAGCCAAGCUGCAUAAUUCAGUCUUGCCUCUGUGGUGCUGACAGAUUUGUCUCCAUCUCAUUAGACCCACAGUUUCAACUGGUGUUGUUUAUGACAACUCAUCCAGGAAUGAAGCUGCAAGCUUUGCAGCAGGCAUGAAGCUGCCAACUUUGCAGCAGGCAUGAAGCUGCCAACUUUGCAGCAGGCAUGAAGCUGCAAGCUUUGCAGGAGGAUGGAAGCUGCCAACUUUGCAGGAGGAUGGAAGCUGCCAACUUUGCAGGAGGAUGGAAGCUGCCAACUUUGCAGGAGGAUGGAAGCUGCCAACUUUGCAGGAGGAUGGAAGCUGCCAACUUUGCAGCAGGAAGGAAGCUGCCAACUUUGCAGCAGGAAGGAAGCUGCCAACUUUGCAGGAGGAUGGAAGCUGCCAACUUUGCAGGAGGAUGGAAGCUGCCAACUUUCCAGGAGGAUGGAAGCUGCCAACUUUGCAGGAGGAUGGAAGCUGCCAACUUUGCAGCAGGAAGGAAGCUGCCAACUUUGCAGCAGGAAGGAAGCUGCCAACUUUGCAGCAGGAAGGAAGCUGCCAACUUUGCAGCAGGAAGGAAGCUGCAAGCUUUGACAAAACUCUUGAAAAGCAGCAGUAUUCCACUUAAACCAAGGCUUUUAUCAAAGGAAAAUGCUUUGAAAUGUCCCUUACCAUGCUGGUUCUUUACUGGUGACCUGCAAGUGUUGGGUUAAUGGCUGGACUCAAUGAUCUCUAAACCAAUUCUUUGAUUCUGGGAUUAGUACUUCUAUUCCACCCUAUAAUUACAGAAUGGUAGAGGUUGGAAGGGACCUCCAAAGAUCAGUGAAUCCAACUCUCGUGCCAAAGCAGGAUCACCCAGGGCAGGACACACAGGAACGCAUCCAGGUUGGCUUGGAAAGUCUCCAGAGGAGGAGACUCCACAGCCUCUCUGGGCAGCCUGCUCCAGGGCUCUGUUACUCUCACAAUAAAGAAGGUUGUCCUUG